AUUGAACGCUGGCGGCAGGCCUAACACAUGCAAGUCGAGCGGAGCGGCGGACGGAUGAGUAAUGCCUAGGAAUCUGCCUGGUAGUGGGGGAUAACGUCCGGAAACGGGCGCUAAUACCGCAUACUAUCAGAUGAGCCUAGGUCGGAUUAGCUAGUUGGUAGGGGAAAGGCCUACCAAGGCGACGAUCCUUAACUGGUCUGAGAGGAUGAUCAGUCAAAGUGGAACUGUGAUCAGGUCCAGACUCCGACGGGCGGCAGCAGUGGGGAAUAUUGGACAAUGGGCGAAAGCCUGAACCAGCCGUGCCGCGUGUGUGAAGAAGGUCUUCGGAUUGGAAAGCACUGUAAGUGGGGAGGCGUUAGCAACAGAAUAAGCACAGGCUAACUGCGUGCGAGCAGCCGCGGUAAGAG
rnacentral:rRNA from 1 species